rnacentral:rRNA from 1 species
ACUCAAAUGAAUUGACGGGGAGGCGCACAAGCAGUGGAGCAUGUGGUUUAAUUCGAUACAAAGCGAAAAACCUCACCAGGAUUUGACAUGUACUUGCUAAUCCCAGGAAACUGGGACUCCUUCGAGGGUAGUACACAGAUGCUGCAUGGCUGUCGUAAGUUCGUGGCGUGAGCUGUCCCCUUAAGUGGGCAAACGAACGAAACCCGCAUCGUAUGUUAAAUAAUUCAUACGAAACUGCCUCUUUUUUAGAGGAGGAAGGCGCGGAUGACGUCAAGUCCGCACGGCUCUUACAUCCUGGGCUACACACAUCCUACAAUGGCGAACAACAACGAGUUGCAACAUGGUAACAUGAAGCUAAUCUCUGAAAUUUCGCCUCAGUUCAGAUUGAGGGCUGCAAUUCGCCCUCAUGAAGUCGGAAUUGCUAGUAAUCGCGAAUCAGCAGGUCGCGGUGAAUACGUUCUCGCCUCUUGUACACACCGCCCGU